GGGAAAGAAAGGAAACAGGGGAGACGAGAGACUGAGAAACAGGGAAAGGGGGAGUAAGAGAGCACGAGAUGCAGAGGGAAGAGGGGAAGGGGGGAGUAGCGCCGGUGGGUGUCUCUGCCACCGUGGCUGCUGUUGCUGUCGAAUAGAAGAGGGAGGGAGGCUGUCGCACUUCUAGCUGCCGCUGAAGCUCCCCUCACCACUGUCAACGUUGGUUAGGGCAGAGGAGAAGAGGAAGAAUAACGGAGAAGAGAGACUGACGGGGAGGGUAAUACGGUUGUUGUUAAUUUGGAGCUGCUACAAGAACGGCGCUUCCUGCUUCUAAUCUCUGUCCUUUUGAUUUUUGGAGCUGCCGUGGAUGGAGCUUGUAAUCAGAGAAAGCAAGCUGCCGCCACCAACUCUUAAUUCAGCCAGUGUCUUCCUCCUUGUUCUGAUUUCAAUUUUCCUAUUUUUGAAACCCCCCUUUCUGGCACCUAUUUCCUGUUACAAUUAGGUCGAGUAUUGAAGCUGGUGCUGCCAUGGGACGGUUGAAGCUGUUACUGAUUCUGAUUUUGCUAUCUCGUUCUUGCUUUGUCUUGAAUCCUUAGAGCUGAAAUUGCUUUGGAUUCCUCUUCCAAUUUGAAUCCUCUAUCUUACUGCAACCAUGGUCAGUGCUGCGAAGGCUAAUAUUGUUGCUGUUCCGGUUGCGUGAGAGUUACCGCUGCUGCCCUGAAACCAAAAGAGAAGAGAGUUGUUACGUUAAAGUAUGCGAUUGCGACAUCGAGUGACACAGGUUUGAAGACGCAAUUUGAAGCUGCGAGCGAUUAGUAGGUUUUCUUUAUGGUUUUAAUUGGUCUGGUAGAAUCCCUUCGCCGAUUGUCCCUCGAGAUUUUAUUUCAUAUAGAGAGGAUUCUAAACCAAGAUUAAUCAGAUGGGUGUUACUCCUUCAAGAGUUUGUUAUUGAGAUAAAAGACAGGAAAGGGUCAGAAAAUCAAGUAGCUGACCAUCUCUCCAGAAUUAAGCCUGAAGCAGGAGUACAACCACCUACAGGUGUGAUUGAGACGUUUUUGGAUGAGCAAUUGUUCCUCAUUCAGCAGGCUCCAUGGUUUGCAGACAUUGCAAAUUACAAGGCCAUGAGUUUUAUCCCAAAGGAGUACAGUAAGCAACAAGUAAAGAAGCUAUUGACUGAUGCGAAGUACUACUUUUGGGAGGAACUAUACCUUUGUAAAAGGUGUUCAGAUGGUAUCAUCCGGAGAUGUGUCCCAAAUGAAGAAACACAGCAGAUUCUUUGGCAUUGUCAUGGUUCUGAUUAUGGAGGACACUUUGGUGGUGAAUGGACAGCUACAAAAGUCCUUCAGAGCGGGUUUUACUGGCCGACUCUCUUCAGGGACGCAAGAGCAUUUGUGAAGCACUGUGACAGAUGUGAAAAAGUCACGAAUCUCCCUGCUAACCAUGAAAUGCCACAAUAGGGGAUUCUUGAUGUUGAGUUGUUUGAUGUGUGGGUUAUUGAUUUCAUGGGACCUUUUCCACCCUCACAUUCAGACAACUAUAUUCUUGUGGCAGUUGACUAUGUGUCCAAGUGGGUGGAGGCGGUGGCUCUACCCACCAACGAUGCCAAGGUGGUAAUGAAUUUUCUUCAGAGAUAUAUCUUUAGCCGGUUUGGUGUCCCAAGGACACUCAUUAGUGAUGGAGGAAGCCACUUCUGUAACAGACAGCUGGACUCUCUUCUGUAGAGAUAUGGAGUCCGUCAUAAAGUGGCAACCCCUUAUCACCCCUCAGACAAGCGGACAGGUUGAUGUUUCCAAUAGGGAACUCAAGAGGAUUCUAGAGAAGACCGUCAGUGUUUCAAGAAAGGACUAGUCUAGGAAGCUUGAUGAUGCUUUCUGGGCAUACCGGACAGCGUACAAGACUCCCAUUGGCAUGUCCCCUUAUCAGUUGGUCUAUGGCAAAGCUUGUCACUUGCCAGUUGAGCUAGAGUAUAAAGCUUACCGGGCAAUCAGGUAUCUAAAUCUUGAUUCAGAAGCUGCAGGAAUUAAGCGAAUGCUUCAGUUGAAUGAGCUUGGUGAAUUCAGAUACUCAGCCUAUGAGACUACCAAGCUCUAUAAGGAGAGAACCAAGUUAUUGCAUGACAAGAAGACUGCCAUCAGAGUUAUUGAGCUAGGCCAGAGAGUGCUUCUGUAUAAUUCAAGUCUCAAAUUCUUUUCCGGGAAGCUGAAAUCCUGGUGGUCAGGACCGUUUGUGGUUACCAGAGCUUCACCAUAUGGUCAUGUGGAAAUAUAGGAAGAGAAUUUUGACAGGAAAUUUACUGUGAAUGGCCAUCGGUUGAAGCACUAUCUUGGAGGCGAGAUCGAUCGUCAGUGGUUUCCUCAUCUGCUAAAUUAGCAGAACUGACCAUCAAGCUAAUGACGUUAAAGAAGCACUUGUCAGGAGGCAACCCGAUAAUUUCGUAUCCUUAGUUAUUUUUCACAGUAGUAGCUUUCUUAUUUAUUUGAUUUUUAUUGAGUCUUCACUAUUUUUCCUUCGUUUUACAUGUGUUCUGAUCAUGCAGCUAUUUUAGAGCAGAAUCCAACAACUUCAAAAAAAAAAAAAGAAGAGAACAGAAGAAGAAGAAAAUUCACCCGAGAGAUAGGCCGGAGUGGUGCUGGAAGCGUUCCUUGUGCACAAGCAAGACCACGCUUCUUCUUUGCUUGAGGACAAGCAAACCUUUAAGUUUGGUGUUGACGCUUCGCUUAUGGCUUCUUUGUUUAGCACCAAAGGGAGAUGAAUGCUUUUCAUGGAGGAAUGAGAUGGCCACCAGCAUAACUGAGGUGGUUGAGUUCCUUUCGUUCUAUUUCUCUUCUGUUCUCAUUUUGUUGUCUUCUAUUUUCUGUUGCUUUGAUUGCUUGCAUGAUUUUUAGUGCUUUUAUCUAAAAAUUAAAAAAAAAUAAAAAAGAUAAAAAAUAAAAAAAUAUAUAUCUGUCUCAUGUAUCACUCACUGAGCUUGAAUUCAAAAGAAAAAGAAGUGAUGUAUUGCAUGAGAAAUUGAGUUUAUAUUUAAGAGUAGUCUUAUUUACUUAAAUGUGGUGGUAUUAUUUGUGAUUUUAAAUGCAUGACAUGAACAAUGCAUAUUUGAAUUUGAAUCAAAGGAUGUUGAUGUAUAAGGAAUAGAAAUUUAGAGAAUUAUUAUGACUUCUCUAAAACAAACAAAAAUUUAAUCCUGGAAGCAAAAGAAACAGCAAAAGAUAAAAAAACUAUAGAAACAAGGUCCAAGGCUCUGAGCAUCAAUGACUAGGGAGGUCAGACAUGAUUAAAAGCUCAAAGAAUUGUUUCCUUAGUCAUAUGCUUGUGGUGUGAUUGUGUCAAGUAAUUCUUGAGACAGAACACUUAGAGUCGAGACCAAGUGUGUUUAACAGAGUAUGCCAAAGGUUUUGAGCACCAUUGUCUGGGAGUAACUGAAAGAAAAAUCAGAACUUAAAGAGAGUCCUCCAGUUAAGUGCUUGUGGUGUUUCUGUGUCAAGUAACCCUUGAGACAAAAUAUUUAAAGUCACGGCUAGGCUCAAGGUGCAAAGCACUAAAGAAAAAUAAAUUAAAGUAAAUUUUGCUGUGUUCAAGGAUUAAGCGGGAGUAUAAAGAUCAGAGAAUUCAUAAUAUGAUCCGGAUUCUAAUUCCGAAUGACACUGACGACCCUCUGAUUCAAAGGAGAGUGAGAUGCCAAAACUGUUCAAAAUUACAAUGAAUAAACCCCAUUUCAAGAAUAGACUUGAGCUUAAGUAAA